rnacentral:rRNA from 1 species
UGCCAGCAGCCGCGGUAAUACGGAGGGUGCAAGCGUUAAUCGGAAUUACUGGGCGUAAAGCGCGCGUAGGCGGUUAUUUAGGUCAGAUGUGAAUGCCCCGGGCUCAACCUGGGAAUUGCCUCUGAUACUGGGUAACUAGAGUUUGGAAGAGGAGAGUAGAAUUUCAGGUGUAGCGGUGAAAUGCAUAGAGAUCUGAAGGAAUACCAGUGGCGAAGGCGGCUCUCUGGUCCAAAACUGACGCUGAGGUGCGAAAGCGUGGGUAGCAAACGGGAUUAGAUA